rnacentral:rRNA from 1 species
AUUGAACGCUGGCGGCAGGCCUAACACAUGCAAGUCGAGCGGAUGAAGGGAGCUUGCUCCUGGAUUCAGCGGCGGACGGGUGAGUAAUGCCUAGGAAUCUGCCUGGUAGUGGGGGAUAACGUCCGGAAACGGGCGCUAAUACCGCAUACGUCCUGAGGGAGAAAGUGGGGGAUCUUCGGACCUCACGCUAUCAGAUGAGCCUAGGUCGGAUUAGCUAGUUGGUGGGGUAAAGGCCUACCAAGGCGACGAUCCGUAACUGGUCUGAGAGGAUGAUCAGUCACACUGGAACUGAGACACGGUCCAGACUCCUACGGGAGGCAGCAGUGGGGAACAUAGGACAAUGGGCGAAAGCCUGAUCCAGCCAUGCCGCGUGUGUGAAGAAGGUCUUCGGAUUGUAAAGCACUUUAAGUUGGGAGGAAGGGCAGUAAGUUAAUACCUUGCUGUUUUGACGUUACCAACAGAAUAAGCACCGGCUAACUUCGUG